rnacentral:rRNA from 1 species
UUCCAGACUCCUACGGGAGGCAGCAGUGGGGAAUAUUGCACAAUGGGGGAAACCCUGAUGCAGUGACGCCGCGUGAGCGAUGAAGUAUUUCGGUAUGUAAAGCUCUAUCAGCAGGGAAGAAAAUGACGGUACCUGACUAAGAAGCCCCGGCUAACUACGUGCCAGCAGCCGCGGUAAUACGUAGGGGGCAAGCGUUAUCCGGAUUUACUGGGUGUAAAGGGAGCGUAGACGGCUGUGCAAGCCAGAUGUGAAAGCCCGGGGCUCAACCCCGGGACUGCAUUUGGAACUGUGGGGCUGGAGUGUCGGAGAGGCAGGCGGAAUUCCUAGUGUAGCGGUGAAAUGCGUAGAUAUUAGGAGGAACACCAGUGGCGAAGGCGGCCUGCUGGACGAUGACUGACGUUGAGGCUCGAAAGCGUGGGGAGCAAACAGGAUUAGAUACCCGCGUA